rnacentral:rRNA from 1 species
UCCGUAUAUCUGUUGUAACCUGUCGCGGUAAGUACGGUGUGGAUAUAGCACGGAAAAGCUGUGUGUAAAACAGCAAAAAUGGGCCCAGCUUGCAGGGGCAGCUACCCUGGGCGCUUGCGGGUGGGGGGCUCCGGCCACAAAGCUUAACCCCCCUCCCCGGCCUUUAACUCCUCAAGUAGCACGGAGACCCGUCCGCAGUUUGGCUGGCCCAACUGGUCCGGCGGUUUGGUGCGAAACGGGGGCCUCUACGCUGUGACUGAGCCGCGGAACCCGUCUCCUCAUGGGGGGGCGGCGAAAGGGGUGAGGGCACUAUGAUAGAGACCAACCACGAGCGCGCGAUGGGCUUCAGACCUAUCAGCUAGACGGUAGGGUAUUGGCCUACCGUGGCUACGACGGGUACAGAGGAUUAGGGUUUGAUCCUGGAGAGGUAGCCUGAGAAAUCGCUCCCACUUCUAAGGAAGGCAGCAGGCGCGUAACGUUCCCAAUGCUCUACCGAGUGAGGACGUGACGGGACAUAAUAAUGCCCCUUCAAGAGUGAUGUGGGUAGCCCUCAAUGGGGCGGGCUUAAACCACCCGCCGAGCAGCCACUGGAGGACAAGUCUGGUGCCAGCAA